ACUCCUACGGGAGGCAGCAGUGGGGAAUCUUGGACAAUGGGCGCAAGCCUGAUCCAGCCAUGCCGCGUGAGUGAUGAAGGCCCUAGGGUCGUAAAGCUCUUUCGCCAGAGAUGAUAAUGACAGUAUCUGGUAAAGAAACCCGGCUAACUCCGUGCCAGCAGCCGCGGUAAUACGGAGGGGGUUAGCGUUGUUCGGAAUUACUGGACGUAAAGCGUACGUAGGCGGAUUAGUUAGUCAGAGGUGAAAUCCCAGGGCUCAACCCUGGAACUGCCUUUGAUACUGCUAGUCUUGAGUUCGAGAGAGGUGAGUGGAAUUCCGAGUGUAGAGGUGAAAUUCGUAGAUAUUCGGAGGAACACCAGUGGCGAAGGCGGCUCACUGGCUCGAUACUGACGCUGAGGUACGAAAGUGUGGGGAGCAAACAGGAUUAGAUACCCUGGUAGGAUAGAC
rnacentral:rRNA from 1 species